GGCGUCGCUAGUGCAGUUGGUUAGCACGCGCCCACGGAAAGGCUAAAGUGCGGGUUCGAUUCCCGCCUGACGUCA